GACCGCAUAGCUCAGUUGGCAGAUGUUGUGCAUUGGGCUAGUAUUCCAAAGGUCGUAGUUGUUGUUGAGCAUUGGGCUAGUAUUCCAAAGGUCGUAGGUUCGAAUCCUACCGUGGUCA